UUGGGGCAGAUGAUGAAAUCUUGUUUUAAAUGGGUAAUUUGCGUCUGAAUUAAUCGUGAUGCUACACCUUGGAGAACUGAUCCCUUUA